rnacentral:rRNA from 1 species
GGCGCGCCUCACACAUGCAAGUCGAACGAGAAAGCCCCUUCGGGGGCGAGUACAGUGGCGAACGGGUGAGUAACACGUGGGUUACCUGCCCUUGAGUGGGGAAUAACCCCGGGAAACUGGGGCUAAUACCGCAUACGACCCUUCGGGGUGAAAGCUUUAUGCGCUCGAGGAUGGGCCCGCGGUCGAUUAGCUUGUUGGUGGGGUAAUGGCCUACCAAGGCUUCGAUCGAUAGCCGGCCUGAGAGGGCACACGGCCACACUGGCACUGAGACACGGGCCAGACUCCUACGGGAGGCAGCAGUGGGGAAUCUUGGACAAUGGGGGAAACCCUGAUCCAGCGACGCCGCGUGAUCGAUGAAGGCCUUCGGGUCGUAAAGAUCUUUCAGCGGGGACUAUGAUGAAGGUACCCGCAGAAGCAGGAGCGGCUAACUACGUGCCAGCAGCCGCGGUAAUAC